GCAUGCAAAGGUGGGAGAAGUUAAAGAUCGGACUUUUUUCUGGGUUUGGAGCGGCUCUUGACUGAAGUGCAAUUCUGUAUGCUUGUCUCCUUACUGUAUGUAAGCUAACCAUUGAUUGACUGUAUGCUUGUAUGUUCAAUCCAUUUUAAUGGUCAUUUUGUGCCUUAAUCUAAUGAGUUUUGAUUGGACGUCAGGAUUCAUAGUCAAUCAGAAGAAAUGAAAUGCCCUACAAAAACAAGUGUGGAAUGGGAAUGAAGGUGAGGACAUGUGUUAGGCCAAGAUGGAUACCCACCCUCAUGACGCAAAGCCUUCAGCUCAACUGCUUUGACUUUGUAAUCAGCAGGUUACUUCUGUGCAUCUUCACGGCUCAUAUCCAUAACUGCUUCAUUGCUUCCUCCAUUCAUGAUCUGUGACACGUUCUACGAGAAGGAUCUGACUUCCUCCAGUGAUUUCAGUGACCUCAUGACCCCCAUGCUCUC